rnacentral:rRNA from 1 species
UUGACCUCAAAUCAGGUAGGACUACCCGCUGAACUUAAGCAUAUCAAUAAGCGGAGGAAAAGAAACUAACAAGGAUUCCCCUAGUAACUGCGAGUGAAGCGGGAAAAGCUCAAAUUUGAAAUCUGGCGGUUCUUGAACUGUCCGAGUUGUAAUCUAGAGAAGUGUUACCUGUGCUGGACCGUGUACAAGUCUCCUGGAAUGGAGCAUCACAGAGGGUGAGAAUCCCGUCUUUGACACGGACUGCCUGUACGAUAUGGUGCGCUCUCGAAGAGUCGAGUUGUUUGGGAAUGCAGCUCAAAAUGGGUGGUAAAUGCCAUCUAAAGCUAAAUAUUGGCGAGAGACCGAUAGCGAACAAGUACCGUGAGGGAAAGAUGAAAAGAACUUUGGAAAGAGAGUUAAACAGUACGUGAAAUUGCUGAAAGGGAAACGCUUGAAGUCAGUCGCGUCGGCUAGAAAUCAGCCUUUGCUUUUGCUUGGUGUACUUUCUGGUUGAUGGGUCAGCAUCAAUUUUGACCAUCGGAUAAAGUCAUUGGGAAUGUGGCAUCUUAGGAUGUGUUAUAGCCCAUUGUCGUAUACGGUGUUUGGGAUUGAGGAAUUCAGCAUGAGCGAGACCACGUUCGUGCUUAGGAUGCUGGCAUAAUGGCUUUAAUCGACCCGUC